ACUUAGACUACAUAAGGAAAAACAAAUCAGUCUUCGCACAGAAAAUAAAAAAAAGUUAUUAGAGUCACGGAGAGAACUCUCUCGAGAACAAACCCUAAUCCCGUCACCGUUACCCUAUCUCCAACCGACGAAACUCUCUGUCGACACCUUGAAGCCCGAUUUCGUGCUCUGUAACUCAAGCUUAGUUGAAAAGAGGAGGAUGACCUGAAGUUGUGAACGGAUCCAAGCUCAGUUGAAUCAGACGAGGAAAAAAUCCGACUCUUCACCAUCCGCGAGAGGCGAACACAGUUCCGAGCUUUCCUUCCUCGGUAGCGGAGGCGGAGAAGAAUGAGGAAUAGGAUGACGGCGGUGAAGAUAUAGAUUGUGGUUGAGUAUGUUCCAGAGCAGCCCGUGUUUGAAGAUGGUUUUAAUGUUGAGUUCAAGAAAAUCUUUGAGAAGUUUAACUUCAGGGAACCUGUCUGAUUAUCUCUUUCUAAGAGACAGUUUUAGUAUCAUGGUUGAAGUUUGUAAGUUAAAUGAAGAAGUUUUACGGUUGGAGCAGAUGGUAUCUUAAUAGAGGCUUGUCAGAAUUUGAAUAUGUUCCUUCUCUUUCUGCUUGCGAGGUUUUGAGAUGCAUCGCUUUGUGUUAAGGGAAGAUCUACACAUCAGAUCCAGACUAUUCAUCAUCUGCAAUGGCUCUUGGGUUACUUCAGAUCCUAGUUAUCAAGAAGAAGUAAGUAUACAUCUCUUAAACUUAUAGACUAUGAAGUGAAUGUAUUAUCCAUUCUUAAUUCAGAAGCUUAGACAGCCGAACCUUUUUGAUUGUUUUUUAAAUAGUAUUCAUGAUUGUUCUAUUAUUUUACCCGUGGUGUACAUGUACUGCUCAUUGGACACCAAACUCCGGAGACAUGAGUGUACUUCAAUACGAUGAAGUGAAAAUGUAGAAACGGUCGGAAUCAUGUUCCUCUAGCACAAGCGCAGUGACUGGUGAAAUGGCUUUACAUUGGGUAAAUGGCACAGACUUAUGUGAUUUGUAUUUCAGAAUCCUGAUCAGAUGCUUCUUGGUCCCAAUGGCUGUGUGGAUAAUGGUACCCCUUCUAAAGAUUUUAGUCAGUGUACUGAAUCCAAACCAGCGGAACUGUCUUUGUGUAAAAACCUUAAGAAUUUUUGUAUUUCAGAAUCCUAAUCAUCAGAUUUAUCUUUCUUCCUCUCAUCUAUUUUGGUUUUAUGUUAAAAAAGGAUCAUAUACUUUAUGAACAUAAGCAAAAUCUGUUUUUGUCCCCACUGCUAAGACAGAUCAGUUAACGGGAGUCUGGUUAUUAAAGUGCAUCCACUACACUUUCUCUGAGAGAUACAUGCUAAGGCCAAGAAGGAAAAUGAGAGUUCAAGGUUUUGAUUUAGUUCCCCAUGUUUUCUUGUCUUUUAUAUAUUUAGUUCUGAUAUUGUAAUGAUGUUUGUGUAAGAUUUGAUGAAAAUGUUUACAUGUUUGUGGUGCUGAUAUAAGUACAUUUUGGUUUAUUAAUGAAAUAUAAAUUGAAUAUUA